GCCCCUGUAGUUAAGUGGAUAUAACGAGUCCCUCCUAAGGACUAGUCAUCGGUUCGAUUCCGGUCAGGGGUGCCA
rnacentral:tRNA from 1 species